UACGUAGGGGGCAAGCGUUGUCCGGAUUUAUUGGGCGUAAAGAGCUCGUAGGCGGUUUGUCGCGUCUGCUGUGAAAACUGGAGGCUCAACCUCCAGCCUGCAGUGGGUACGGGCAAACUAGAGUGCGGUAGGGGAGAUUGGAAUUCCUGGUGUAGCGGUGGAAUGCGCAGAUAUCAGGAGGAACACCGAUGGCGAAGGCAGAUCUCUGGGCCGUAACUGACGCUGAGGAGCGAAAGCAUGGGGAGCGAACAGG
rnacentral:rRNA from 1 species